rnacentral:rRNA from 1 species
AUACGGAGGGUGCAAGUGUUACUCGGAAUCACUGGGCGUAAAGGACGCGUAGGCGGGUUGGUAAGUCAGGUGUGAAAUCCUACAGCUUAACUGUAGAACUGCACUUGAAACUACCAACCUAGAGUAUGAGAGGGGGAGAUGGAAUUAGUGGUGUAGGGGUAAAAUCCGUAGAUAUCACUAGGAAUACCGAAAGCGAAGGCGAUCUCCUGGAACAUAACUGACGCUAAGGCGUGAAAGCGUGGGGAGCAAACAGGAUUAGAUACCCCAGUAGUCC